rnacentral:rRNA from 1 species
AGUGAACGCUGGCGGUAGGCCUAACACAUGCAAGUCGAACGGCAGCACAGUAAGAGCUUGCUCUUACGGGUGGCGAGUGGCGGACGGGUGAGGAAUACAUCGGAAUCUACUUUUUCGUGGGGGAUAACGUAGGGAAACUUACGCUAAUACCGCAUACGACCUACGGGUGAAAGCAGGGGAUCUUCGGACCUUGCGCGAUUGAAUGAGCCGAUGUCGGAUUAGCUAGUUGGCGGGGUAAAGGCCCACCAAGGCGACGAUCCGUAGCUGGUCUGAGAGGAUGAUCAGCCACACUGGAACUGAGACACGGUCCAGACUCCUACGGGGGGCAGCAGGGGGGAAUAUUGGACAAUGGGCGCAAGCCUGAUCCAGCCAUACCGCGUGGGUGAAGAAGGCCUUCGGGUUGUAAAGCCCUUUUGUUGGGAAAGAAAAGCAGCAGGUUAAUACCCCGCUGUUCUGACGGUACCCAAAGAAUAAGCACCGGCUAACUUCGUG